rnacentral:rRNA from 1 species
GCUAGCGAGGUUAAGUGGAAGACACGGAGCCGCAGCGAAAGCGAGUCUGAACAGGGCGUUCAGUUAGUGAUAGUAGACCCGAAACCGUAGUGAUCUAUCCAUGGCCAGGUUGAAGCACAGGUAAAAUUGUGUGGAGGACCGAACUCGUGAGCGUUGAAAAGCUUUGGGAUGAGUUGUGGAUAGGGGUGAAAUGCCAAUCGAACACGGAGAUAGCUGGUUCUCCCCGAAA